GAGUUUGAUCCUGGCUCAGAUUGAACGCUGGCGGAAUGCUUUACACAUGCAAGUCGAGCGGUAAGGCCCCUUCGGGGGUACACGAGCGGCGAACGGGUGAGUAACACGUGGGCAACCUACCCUUGACACUGGAAUAACCCCGGGAAACCGGGGCUAAUACCGGAUACUCACCGCGUCUCGCAUGGGACGCGGUGGAAAGCUCCGACGGUCAGGGAUGGGCCCGCGGCCUAUCAGCUUGUUGGUGGGGUAACGGCCUACCAAGGCAUCGACGGGUAGCCGGCCUGAGAGGGCGACCGGCCACACUGGGACUGAGACACGGCCCAGACUCCUACGGGAGGCAGCAGUGGGGAAUCUUGCCCAAUGGGCGCAAGCCUGAGGCAGCGACGCCGCGUGAGGGAUGACGGCCUUCGGUU
rnacentral:rRNA from 1 species